rnacentral:tRNA from 1 species
UGGGCCGAGCUGGAUUUGAACCAGCGUAGACAUGUCGCCAACGAAUUUACAGUCCGUCCCAUUAACCGCUCGGGCAUCGACCC